AUUGAACGCUGGCGGCAGGCCUAACACAUGCAAGUCGAACGAGUGGCGGACGGGUGAGUAAUGUCUGGGAAACUGUCUGAUGCAGGGGGAUAACUACCGGAAACGGUAGCUAAUACCGCAUACCAUCAGAUGUGCCCAGAUGGGAUUAGCUAGUUGGUGGGGUAACGGCUCACCAAGGCGACGAUCCCUAGCUGGUCUGAGAGGAUGACCAGCCACACUUGAACUGAGACACGGUCCAGACUCCUACGGGAGGCAGCAGUGGGGAAUAUUGCACAAUGGGGGCAAGCCUGAUGCAGCCAUGCCGCGUGUAUGAAGAAGGCCUUCGGGUUGUAAAGUACUUUCGGCGGGGAGGCGUUACCCGCAGAAGACGCGCCGGCUAACUCCGUGCCAGCAGCCGCGGUAAUAC
rnacentral:rRNA from 1 species